GCUUGGAGUUUUCCCGGCGAUGAUCGUCGGCGUCCUGACAAAUGCUGCCAUCCUCCUCUGUUACUUCUGGAAGUACCUUUCAGUGGAGAAGGAUCAGGAAGGCGGGCAGCCGGCUGGGCCGGAGGUGGUCGCCGACGACGAGGUCACCUCACACAGGUUCACACCUGCAAGAAUGUCACACGUCUCAUCUCUGAACCCGGAUGAUAUGGACUGCAUAAGUGAGCCAAUCAUCAGGAGCAACAGCGUGAGGAGCACCAGUGCUAAUGAGAAUCUGAGGAGCAGGAGUGUGAAUUCGGAGGCGGACAUACAGCUCGCGAUCAAGUCGCUCCGGGCAUCGAGCAUGUCGCAUGAGAUGGUCGAGGUCUCAACUGUCACUGACAGGAGGGAUGAAGGUGCAUCCUCCAGGAAGUUCACAAGAACUGCUAGCCAGCAGAGGAGUGUGAUCAUAGAGGACUCGCCGCCG
rnacentral:misc_RNA from 1 species